AAGAACCAAACCCUCAAACAUCAGUGAUCCUGUGAGGUUUUUGCCUUGUGGAACUUUCCUUAAAAUAACUACAUCAGGAGAUUGUCCAGUUGGGGGUGGAGGAAGAGGAAGACCUGAAAGCAGAGUCUUGGGGCUCCUCAAGGAUUCGGAUGUGGAAACCGAGGCAUGGCUGGGUUGCAAACCCAGUCUAUCUGCAUACUGUUAGUCAUGUGCUACUGCCUCAGGGAUCCAGUUCCUCAAGAGGAUGGCUGGAGUCACCAGUGGCUGGGAGACUGAGAGGUCCCCAAGAGGCUACUGGAAGGUUCUGUCCCAGGUGGAACCUGUUACUUGCCCAGGAAUCCCAGCCUUGGGAACAA